GAUGAACGCUGACAGAAUGCUUAACACAUGCAAGUCAACUUGAACUUCGGUUUGGGUGGCGGACGGGUGAGUAACGCGUAAAGAACUUGCCUCACAGUUAGGGACAACAUUUGGAAACGAAUGCUAAUACCUGAUAUUAUGAUUUUAGGGCAUCCUAGAAUUAUGAAAGCUAUAUGCGCUGUGAGAGAGCUUUGCGUCCCAUUAGCUAGUUGGAGAGGUAACGGCUCACCAAGGCGAUGAUGGGUAGCCGGCCUGAGAGGGUGAACGGCCACAAGGGGACUGAGACACGGCCCUUACUCCUACGGGAGGCAGCAGUGGGGAAUAUUGGACAAGGGACCAAGAGUCUGAUCCAGCAAUUCUGUGUGCACGAUGAAGUUUUUCGGAAUGUAAAGUGCUUUCAGUUGGGAAGAAAAAAAUGACGAUACCAACAGAAGAAGAGACGGCUAAAUACGUG
rnacentral:rRNA from 1 species